CCUACGGGGGGCAGCAGUGGGGGAUAUUGCACAAUGGGGGGAACCCUGAUGCAGCGACGCCGCGUGGGUGAAGGAGUAUUUCGGUAUGUAAAGCCCUAUCGGCAGGGAAGCAUUUAGACGGUACCUGACUAAGAAGCCCCGGCUAACUACGUGCCAGCAGCCGCGGUAAUACGUAGGAGGCAAGCGUUAUCCGGAAUGACUGGGCGUAAAGGGUGCGUAGGUGGUUUGACAAGUUGGUAGCGUAACUCCGGAGCUCAACUUCGGAACUACUACCAAAACUGUUGGACUCGAGUGCAGGAGGGGCAACUGGAAUUUCUAGUGUAGCGGUGGAAUGCGUAGAUAUUAGGAAGAACACCGGUGGCGAAGGCGAGUUGCUGGACUGUAACUGACACUGAGGCACGAAAGCGUGGGGAGCAAACAGGAUUAGAUACCCUUGUAGU
rnacentral:rRNA from 1 species